GGAAGCGACCGGUACCUUAUGUAUGCUAUCUGUGUCUUCUUGUAGGAGCUGCCAGUGAUGGUCCCUUGAACCCCGAUAUUGGCUUGGGGAACCAGGAAGAGGUCGAUGAUGCAAAGGAGACCCAUACCCCUUAGUGGCAUAUCUAUCGUUAACCAAGGUUGGAGCCAGAGUGUGGAGCAGACAGGAAACUUGCCGAGCUCUGAUGGUAAUGGCUCCAAAUGGCUCACCCCUGCGGAGCGGUUGGCCUGCANGAAGAGCAAGUGGCAUCGAGCUGGAAGCUCCGAGAUGUUGCAGGUGGUCUGUAACCAUGCAAGCCAGGAGAACAGGACCAUGCUGGAGGCGUUCNGCGAGUCCGACUGCACUUGGCUGCAGUUCUUUGAGAAGCAGAACGAAUGUCUGAUGCGGACUGAGGAGCAAAUGUUGUCCCUUAUGCGUGAACAGACUUCACUCCUAAGAGCUAUGUUCACUCGGUCAGUGGCUCGGGAUGAGGAGACCAGUAGAGUUAGGGUUGGUUCCGGAACUGCUCACUGCUCGCAGUUUUCUGCCCCCACUUCCCUUGUAUCCGUCCAGCACUCCAUUAAUGUGAUUGUGGAAGCCCACCCUCCCCCUGCUAUUUCGCCNAUUUUGGAGCUGUCCUCCUCUCUGNAGCCUCCUGUGCCCUCAGCUACUGUUGAUCCUGUAAUUCCUGUGGAAGUGGAGGAAUCAUGUCCCCCGGUUCCCGCCAGCUCGACCCCAAGGAGUCCGUCUGUUAGUCGGCGUGUUUCUGCUCACCCCGUGAAGAGGAGGCAGAUGUUCUCCCCCUGAGUGUGGAACAAGGAGUCUGCCCCCUCAUGGGGUGUCCCCUUCCCUAGUUUAUUCCAAUGUUAUCCUUGUUGUGUUGUAAUGUGUUGUUGUUGUUAUUGUUUGUUCACUUUGCACUGGACUCUUGUUCGUGUUUUCAUGCACUUCUUCAUUGUAGCUCUGUGCACUGACACUGCCCUUCAGUAUGAGCAAUAAAUAAAAAUAAAAUAAAAAUAAAAUAAAAAUA
rnacentral:lncRNA from 1 species